CCGAGUUUACAACUCCCAAACCCCUGUGAACAUACCUAUCUGUUGCUUCGGCGGAUCCGCCCGCGCCCUCGGUAACCGGAUCAGGCGCCCGCCAGAGGACCCCUAACUCUUGUAUUUCUUAUAGUAACUUCUGAGUAAACAGCAAAUAAAUUA
rnacentral:misc_RNA from 1 species